AUGAAGUUCAAUCCCUUUGUGACUUCCAACCGAGGCAAGAAACGCAAAAGGCGUUUCAAUGCAAUAUCCAACAUUAGCAGGAAGAUUAUGUCUUCCCCUCUUUCCAAAGAGCUGAGACAGAAAUACAAUGUGUGAUCCAUGCCCAUCCGAAAGGUUUUGAUGAAGGUCAGGUUGUAUGAGGACACUAUAAAGGUCAGCAAAUUGGCAAAGUAGUCCAGGCUUACAGGAAGAAAUGUCAUCUACACUGAAUGAGUGCAGUGGGAAAAGGCUAAUGGUACAACUAUCCAUGUAGACAUUCACCACAGCAAGUGGUUCUCACUAGGAUAAAACUGAACAAAGACGGCAAAAAGAUUCCUGAACAGAAAGCCAAAUCUCGCCAAGUAGGAAAGGAAAAGGGCAAAUACAAGGAAGAAACAAUUGAGAAGAGGCAGGAAUAA
rnacentral:lncRNA from 1 species